rnacentral:rRNA from 1 species
CCUAGCCUUGGAGUGGGGAAUAACAGCUGGAAACAGCUGCUAAUACCGCAUGAUGCAGUUGGGUCGCAUGGCUCUGACUGCCAAAGAUUUAUCGCUCUGAGAUGGACUCGCGUCUGAUUAGCUAGUUGGCGGGGUAACGGCCCACCAAGGCGACGAUCAGUAGCCGGACUGAGAGGUUGGCCGGCCACAUUGGGACUGAGACACGGCCCAGACUCCUACGGGAGGCAGCAG